ensembl:misc_RNA 7SK 7SK RNA
GGCGGUGAGGGCGAUCUGGCUGCGACAUCUGUCACCCCAUUGAUCGCCAGGGUUGAUUCGGCUGAUCUGGCUGGCUAGGCGGGUGCCCCCUUCCUCCCUCACUGCUCCAUGUGAGUCCCUCCCGAAGCUGCGCGCUCGGUGGAAGAAGACGACCUUCCCCGAUUAGAGGAGGACGGUCUUGGGUCAAGGGUAUACAAGUAGCUGCGCUCCCCUGCUAGAACCUCCAAACAAGCUCUCAUGUCAUUUCUCCUACCCUACCACCUUCCCCUAGGCCUCUCUAUUCCAGCUAUUUAUUUAUUUUUUCAAGCCAGAUGUUGUUUGAGGUCUCU